rnacentral:rRNA from 1 species
GACGGAGGAUGCAAGUGUUAUCCGGAAUCACUGGGCGUAAAGCGUCUGUAGGUGGUCAAAUAAGUCAACUGUUAAAUCUUGAGGCUCAACCUCAAAAUCGCAGUCGAAACUAUUCGACUAGAGUAUAGUAGGGGUAAAGGGAAUUUCCAGUGGAGCGGUGAAAUGCGUAGAGAUUGGAAAGAACACCGAUGGCGAAGGCACUUUACUGGGCUAUUACUAACACUGAGAGACGAAAAGCUAGGGUAGCAAAUGGG